CUGUUUAAGAGGACUCUGCCCUGUAUCCCAACCACUUUCCAAAGACCUCUUAAUACCAACACUUUGCAGGGUGACAUUUAUGAAGAAAGAAAAAUCUGCAAGAUAUCUGAAAAAGCAAGUCAUAUGCCAGAAUACAGUGGAAAGAGUGAUGCAGAUGAGCAGAAGCUGGAACAGUCAGUCAACUAUGCUUCCCACAGGAUAAUAUCUGCGUGGUGCCUUUUCACAGUUACUACAUGUACCAAGGAGGAAGAGGAUUUGAGUGUUUGGCAGUUAUAUCCACAGAUGUCAUAAUUGCUCCUUUGAAGAGUCUCUGCUGGCUAUCCUCAGGUACUCUCUCCACUGUGGCCAGGGAGGAGAUUCACAUGGCACAAAGAAAGAGUAAUGAAUAUUCCAUGAAAUUUGGGGAAUUGCAAUUGCUUAGAAUUUUAUACUCCCUGGAAUGAUGACCCAUAGCACAGAAUUCACAGCCUGAUCAGGUGAGAGCAUGAUACAAUGUGAAGUGUGUGGGGCGGUAUUAUUUAUUUACUCAUUAUUAUUGGGCAUUUAUUGAAAAUUGAGUUCUAUUCUUUGUGUGAUAUAAUAGGCACACGUUUUCCUAGUCCAGUCUAAUGGAAGAACCAGCCCUUACCAAAAAAUUAAAAUAAUACAAGUAACAACAAUUUCAAAUGUAAUAAAUGCCACUUUCCUCUGCUGCUGCCAUCAAACAUCUAAACCACCUCAUCUGUACCCUUACUUUCUGUCUUCCCUCCUGGUACUGUGAAGCAAUGACUUAGGCUCCUCCUAGGAGAGAGUCUCCCCACUCAAGUUACCACUCCCCAAUUCAAGUUACCACUGCCAUAUGUCUCUUUUUGCUCUCUACUUGAUUAUUUCUGUUAUUAUCCCAAAAUGCUAUCAUUCUCCCAUCUUAAUACACAAGUCUUUUGAUUGUAGAUCGCCUUCCAGUGAUGGCCCAAUAUCUAUGUUUCCAAGAAGUGGUAUAGUUACUGUCAAAUCUUUCUUCCUGUUCUCUCUUACUAUCUAGCCAAGCUGUUUUUUUUUUCAACAUCUCCCUUAAACUGUGCUUUUGAGGGUCACCAAUGACCUCCAAAUGGCCAACUUAUAAGACUAAUUUUAAUUUCUAUAUCAUUUGCCUUAUCAACAGUUUUCUCAUAAUUGAUCACCUGUCCUAUAAAACUUUUAUUUAUUUAUUUAUUUUUACUUUGCCUCUGGCACACAAAUUUCUCUUCUCCACACAAAGGACUGGCCAUUCAUAUGUCUCUGCUGAUUCUCUUCAUCUCAUCAAGUACUUGCAGUCUCUAAUCCCUGGACUUCUUUAUGUAUCUAUUGUUUUAUGUGUGGGGUGUACAGAGAUUGAAGCCAAUCUAGUUCUAAGAACUUCAAAGUUGAGUGA